CUUCGUUGCCCUCCUUGGGCGUUUCCUCCCUAGACUUCGGGCCGCCACGAAAGUGUGCGGCCCUUUUUCUUUGGAUUA
rfam:Bosea sp. Root483D1 contig_2, whole genome shotgun sequence.